UUGCCCAUUUAAGACUGAAGUGUCUUAAUUGACAAACACAGGGGGGUAGAGUUCUCUCAUAAACCUAAAGUAAAGGCUUUCAACACCUUACUUUGGAUCCUGUCGGGAGAAACACUC